UGAGCAAUCUGCCCUUCUCUUUGGAAUAAGCGUUGGAAACGACGUCUAAUGCCGAAUACGACCUCCUUUCGCAUGAUCGGAGGUGGAAAGCUCCGGCGGAGAAGGAUGAGCUCGCGGCCUAUCAGCUAGUUGGUGCGGGUAAUGGCCCACCAAGGCGACGACGGGUAGCCGGCCUGAGAGGGUGACCGGCCACACUGGGACUGAGACACGGCCCAGACUCCUACGGGAGNAGCG
rnacentral:rRNA from 1 species